UAUUGAUAAAGGCAAACCUGUUGAAAAGCAGCGACGCAAAGUUUCCGGUCUAAGGCAAAAAACCUUUGAUAGCGGGGCCGCCAAA
rnacentral:ncRNA from 1 species